UAGCAUAUCAAUAAGCGGAGGAAAAGAUUCUAACAGGGAUUCCCCUAGUAACUGCGAGUGAAGCGGGAAAAGCUCAAAUUUAAAAUCUGGUAGUCUUUGGCUGCCCGAGUUGUAAUCUAGAGAAGCGUCUUCCGCGCUGGACCGUGUACAAGUCUUUUGGAAUAAAGCAUCAUAGAGGGUGAGAAUCCCCGUCUUUGACACGGACUACCAGUGCUUUGUGAUGCGCUCUCAAAGAGUCGAGUUGUUUGGGAAUGCAGCUCAAAAAUGGGUGGUAAAUUCCAUCUAAAGCUAAAUAUUGGCGAGAGACCGAUAGCGAACAAGUACCGUGAGGGAAAGAUGAAAAGCACUUUGGAAAGAGAGUUAAACAGUACGUGAAAUUGUUGAAAGGGAAACGCUUGAAGUCAGUCGCGUUGUUCAGAACUCAGCCUGGCUCCCGCUUGGUGUAUUUUCUGUUUAACGGGCCAGCAUCAAUUUUGACCAUUGGAAAAAGGCCAGAGGAAUGUGGCAUCUUCGGGUGUGUUAUAGCCUCUGGUUGCAUACAAUGGUUGGGAUUGAGGAUCUCAGCAUGCCUUUUGGCCGGGGUUCGCCCACGUUCAUGCUUAGGAUGCUGGCGUAAUGGCUUUAAACGACCCGUCUUGAAACACGGACCAAGGAGUCUAACAUGCCUGCGAGUGUUUGGGUGGAAAACCCGAGCGCGUAAUGAAAGUGAAAGUUGGGAUCCCUGUCGUGGGGAGCACCGACGCCCGGACUUGAACUUCUGUGACGGAUCCGCGGUAGAGCAUGUAUGUUGGGACCCGAAAGAUGGUGAACUAUGCCUGAAUAGGGUGAAGCCAGAGGAAACUCUGGUGGAGGCUCGUAGCGAUUCUGACGUGCAAAUCGAUCGUCAAAUUUGGGUAUAGGGGCGAAAGACUAAUCGAACCAUCUAGUAGCUGGUUCCUGCCGA
rnacentral:rRNA from 1 species